UAGCUUAACUGCCGCAUUUCUGCCUGUUGGCAAGAUAGUUUGAACAGAACCUUUACCAAAAGACUUUUCACCCAUGAUGAUAGCUCUUUUAUGAUCCUGCAAAGCACCUGCAACAAUUUCUGAUGCUGAAGCUGAACCGGCAUUUAUCAAAACAACCAAUGGAAUACCAUUAAUUUCAUCACCCGGAGCUGCAUUAAACCUCAUUUCUGAAUUUUUAAUUCUACCUUCAGUAUAAACAAUCAAGCCUUUCUCUAAAAAUGCAUCACUAACUUCUACCGCUGCAUUUAAAACUCCACCUGGGUUAUUCCUUA
rnacentral:ncRNA from 1 species